UUGAGACUUGAGAAGGCAAGGGAAAGGCAGGCAAAAACCAAGAAUGCCAUCAGAGCAUGAAAGCAAGUAUGGCCAGAAAACUGCGUAACAUCUCUCAAAGAAACUAAAGGCAAUCAUCACUCAACCUCAGGCUGCUGCUAAUUUGCUGAAAGAUCAAGGCACCAUCGUUUCUAUGGGCCAGCUUUGAGACCCAGGCCCAGUUGUGAAUCCCUUCACACAACAAGGAGCCAGUGAGGACAGCGGACGGCGGUGGAAUGCUUUCAAGUGAAUGAAGAAGAAGGCAUCCUCGAGGUCGUCAGCCCGCGUCAGACGCCUGCUGGAGCUCAACACGUCUGUAUGCCUGCAAUCAUCUGCCAAACCAGCUGCCAGACAUGACCAUGGCAUGAAGCAUGUUAGGUCUGAGUAAAUUACAAGUAGAGAAAGGACUGAGGACUUGCAGCCAGAUUUAGUGAUCUUCCACAACUUCAAAAUGCUAAUAUUGACUGCUCCAUCUCCAGUUGGCUUUUCAGCCUUCGUGUCCAUCAAUCAAGUACCACUUCUUCAUAAUCCGUGUGACCAAUGUGAAGUAACAGAUAUUAUUAUGUGGACUCUGGUAUAGAUUGAGAUGCUGCUGAAGUAACUUUGCCAUAAGUAACUUUCAUCUGUGUUUUUCUUGAACUGAUGCUAAAAUUCCGCUGCGCCUCUCCCCACAACUGACCUCCAGAGCCCACGACGUCCUGCAGGCGACAACUUUUCACACCACAAUGGAGUCUGAUAGUCCGGCAGGAUCCAAUCCUUUUCAUGGCUCCACAACUCCAGUGCGGUCUGCAGCACUAACUACUCGAACUCGUUUCGGUCGUGAGGUUAUAAAAUAUUCAAAAUGGAAGACUUUGUGUAUGGACUGUACGACCUUAUGCAUGAAUCUGUGUCACAACAACGACGGAAAACGUUCGAAACCGUGACUAAUCCUCGACUUAGCUCGAGUCGGUGAUUGUUUUAAUUUUCUUAUUUGUUUGUGUUGAUUUGUUUAUUGAACCUUUUAAACGGGCGAGGAUGUUACAAUAUCUUAGUUAUGUCCCUUGUUUUCCACUCUCUUGUGUGUGUCUCAGUUAUCUAAUAAAAACAUAACAGCUUGUCUCGGAGUGUGUAUUCUGUUCGUCGUCAGUCAGGACACUAAAAUAAACAGUAUAUCGUGAUUUAAAACAAUGUAAAUCAGGAUACAUCAAAACAAAGUGCCAAAUGUUACAUAAAACACACGUGAUUUUUUCCCUCAACUGAAGUUUAUUAAAGUAGAAAAUGCAUUAUCUUCAAAUGUCAGCACAAAUAAGGAUAAAAA